CCUACGGGUGGCAGCAGUGAGGAAUAUUGGUCAAUGGACGAGAGUCUGAACCAGCCAAGUAGCGUGAAGGAUGACUGCCCUAUGUGUUGUAAACUUCUUUUAUAUGGGAAUAAAAUGUUCCACGUGUGGGAGUUUGUAUGUACCAUAUGAAUAAGGAUCGGCUAACUCCGUGCCAGCAGCCACGGUAAUACGGAGGAUCCGAGCGUUAUCCGGAUUUAUUGGGUUUAAAGGGAGCGUAGGUGGAUUGUUAAGUCAGUUGUGAAAGUUUGCGGCUCAACCGUAAAAUUGCAGUUGAAACUGGCAGUCUUGAGUACAGUAGAGGUAGGCGGAAUUCGUGGUGUAGCAGUGAAAUGCUUAGAUAUCACGAAGAACUCCGAUUGCGAAGGCAGCUCACUGGACUGCAACUGACACUGAGGCUCGAAAGUGUGGGUAUCAAACAGGAUUAGAUACCCCAGUAGUC
rnacentral:rRNA from 1 species